ACCUGUUCCCAUGCCGAACACAGAAGUUAAGCUCCUUAGCGCCGAUGGUAGUCGGACUUACGUUCCGCUAGAGUAGGACGUUGCCAGGC
rnacentral:rRNA from 3 species